GACGAACGCUGGCGGCGCGCUUAACACAUGCAAGUCGAACGGAAAGGCCUGCUUUCCCUUGUGGAUUGCGGGUACUCGAGUGGCGAACGGGUGAGUAACACGUGAGUGAUCUGCCCCCAACUUGGGUAUAAGCCUGGGAAACUGGGUCUAAUUCCCGAUAGGACUGCAGGGUGGUGCCUGUGGUGGAAAACGAUUUUCUAGUGGUUGGGGAUGAGCUCGCGGCCUAUCAGCUUGUUGGUGGGGUAAUGGCCUACCAAGGCGGCGACGGGUAGCCGGCCUGAGAGGGUGGACGGCCACAUUGGGACUGAGAGACGGCCCAGACUCCGACGGGAGGCAGCAGUGGGGAAUAUUACACAAUGGGCGGAAGCCUGAUGCAGCGACGCCGCGUGGGGGAUGACGGCCUUCGGGUUGUAAACUCCUUUCGACCGAGAGGAAGCCACCUGGUUGGAAGGGUGGUGACGGUAGUGGUAGAAGAAGCACCGGCUAACUACGUG
rnacentral:rRNA from 1 species